rnacentral:rRNA from 1 species
GAACGAGAAAGUGGAGCAAUCCAUGAGUAAAGUGGCGACCGGGUGAGUAACACGUGACUAACCUGCCUUCGAGUGGGGGAUAACCUCGGGAAACCGGGGCUAAUACCGCAUAAUGCCUACGGGUUAAAGGAGCAAUUCGCUUGAAGAGGGGGUCGCGGCUGAUUAGCUAGUUGGCGGGGUAACGGCCCACCAAGGCGAUGAUCGGUAGCCGGCCUGAGAGGGCGCACGGCCACACUGGAACUGAAACACGGUCCAGACUCCUACGGGAGGCAGCAGUGGGGAAUUUUGCGCAAUGGGGGAAACCCUGACGCAGCAACGCCGCGUGGAGGAUGAAGUCCCUUGGGACGUAAACUCCUUUCGACCGGGACGAUGAUGACGGUACCGGUGGAAGAAGCCCCGGCUAACUUCGUG